CAAGUACAAACAAACCAAUGUCAGUUUUAUUAACAAGCCUCCCAGAAACCAGUGACUACAAAGUAUAGGCACUAAACAUCAAAAUGCAGCUUGCAGCAUAUGGAAUCAUGGAUCUAAUGUUAACCAGUGACUACAAAGUAUAGGCGCUAAACAUCAAAAUGCAGCUUACGGCAUAUGGAAUCAUGGAUCUAAUGUUAUUUUCAACAUAAAUAUAUAAGAGAAGCGCCUAUAAAAGCCACCUUUUGCUAAUCAUGACAAGGACUUUGACAUGUAUAAGUCAUUUCUGACAUGAUUAACAGUGUGUUGGUUGGCUAAAGGUUCUUGACAAGCACAGAACCUUAAAAAAAUUCCCAUGCUACAUAGCAAAGUUAUUAACCAAAAUCAGACACGAGCAUGAUACCGAUUUAAAAAAAUACUAGAGAAGAGCAUAUUUGAAUUGUUAAUAUGAACCAUAGCUUAAAGUCACUAUCAUGUGGCCAUGGAAGGCAAGCUGUACAUUGAAAGCUGGUCACAGGUGCCGGAAGACUAUUCUGCUAUCUAUUUCUGCUUUUCUUUUUUAUUUGGGAAAUUAACAGCUAUGUCCAUUUAGAAGUAGCUCAUUACGAAAAUCGGUCAAUUGAUAAAAUAUUACUAAUAUUAGCCAAAGUGGCCAAUUGGCUAUUUGUAGCAAAACAAUAUCAAAUUUUUACUUUCUUUUGAU
rnacentral:lncRNA from 1 species